rnacentral:ncRNA from 1 species
UGGUACUCCUGUCCAGCCACAGCUUCACGCAAUGGGGGCAGCUCGGAGAGAUCCUCGGAGGGGUGAAAUUCCCGUG